AAGGGAGACCUAAUUCAGGUAGGAGACGAAAAAAAAGUAGUCGCUACCAAGAAUCAAUCCCAAAAGGUCGGAGCGAGGCGAAAUUGGCUUUCAAACUAGGUUCUGGGUUCACACAAGACCUGAAUCAGGAACAAGGGCUAUUAGCUCAGGUGGUUAGAGCGCACCCCUGAUAAGGGUGAGGUCCCUGGUUCGAGUCCAGGAUGGCCCACCUGCACAGGUGGCAAAAACAAGAGAAGCUCCGAAUCAGCACCUUAUCUUAUAUACAUAUAUAAGAGAGAAUGCUGGCUCUGAGUAAAGAGUCCAGAGGAACCUUGAAAACUGCAUAGAGCUAGGUGAAAAAGCCAAAGAAGAAGACCGCAA
rnacentral:tRNA from 1 species